rnacentral:rRNA from 1 species
GACGAACGCUGGCGGCGUGCUUAACACAUGCAAGUCGAACGGAAAGGCCCUGCUUUUGUGGGGUGCUCGAGUGGCGAACGGGUGAGUAACAAGUGAGUAACCUGCCCUUGACUUUGGGAUAACUUCAGGAAACUGGGGCUAAUACCGGAUAGGAGCUCCUGAUGCAUGGUGGGGGUUGGAAAGUUUCGGCGGUUGGGGAUGGACUCGCGGCUUAUCAGCUUGUUGGUGGGGUAGUGGCUUACCAAGGCUUUGACGGGUAGCCGGCCUGAGAGGGUGACCGGCCACAUUGGGACUGAGGUACGGCCCAGACUCCUACGGGAGGCAGCAGGGGGGAAUAUUGCACAAUGGGCGGGAGCCUGAUGCAGCAACGCCGCGGGCGUGAUGACGGCCUUCGGGUGGUAAACCGCGUUCGCCUGUGACGAAGCGUGAGUGACGGUAAUGGGUAAAGAAGCACCGGCUAACUAUGUG